rnacentral:tRNA from 1 species
AAUAUAAUGACUGAUUUAAAGUGAUAAAUUGUAAAUUUAUUUAUGGGAGAAAUCUCUUAUAUUA